rnacentral:rRNA from 1 species
UACGAAUCGUGCGAACGUUGUUCGGAAUCACUGGGCUUAAAGGGCGCGUAGGCGGUUUCCCAAGUCCGGAGUGAAAUCUUUCGGCUUAACCGGAAAAGUGCUUUGGAUACUGAGAAGCUCGAGGGAGGCAGGGGCAGCUGGAACUUCCAGUGGAGCGGUGAAAUGCGUUGAUAUUGGAAGGAACUCCGGUGGCGAAAGGCGAAGCUGCUGGUCCUUUUCUGACGCUGAGGCGCGAAAGCUAGGGGAGCAAACGGGG